GCCUCUGAUUGGAUAAAAUAGUCACGGGCCGACCCAACCAGCGCUUCGGUUGUUGCUUUGCGGCGCUUUCCGCGGGGAACUGUGUAAGGGGUGGGGGAAACUUUGAAAGUUGGAUGCUGCAGACCCGGUUCCUCUUUUCUUUGCUGGAUCUGAAGGCAUGGGUAGCAAGAAACUAAGACGAGUGGGUUUAUCACAAGAGCUGUGUGAUCGUCUGAGCAGACAUCAGAUUGUGACCUGUCGGGACUUCUUAUGUCUUUCCCCACUGGAGCUUAUGAAGGUGACUGGCCUGAGUUAUCGAGGUGUCCAUGAACUUCUGUGUAUUGUCAGCAAGGCCUGUGCCCCACAGAUGCAAACGGCUUAUGGGAUGAAGACAAAAAGGUCUGCUGAUCUCUCACCGGCGUUCUUAUCUACUACCCUUUCUGCUUUGGAUGAAGCCCUACAUGGUGGUGUGGCUUGUGGAUCCCUCACAGAGAUUACAGGUCCACCAGGUUGUGGAAAAACUCAGUUUUGUAUAAUGAUGAGUGUUUUGGCCACAUUACCCACCAACAUGGGAGGAUUAGAAGGAGCUGUUGUGUAUAUUGACACAGAGUCAGCAUUUAGUGCUGAAAGACUGGUUGAGAUAGCAGAAUCCCGUUUUCCUAGAUAUUUUAACACUGAAGAAAAAUUACUUUCGACAAGUAGUAAAGUUAAUCUUUAUCUGGAGCUCAGCUGUGAUGAAGUUCUACGAAGGAUUGAAUCGUUGGAAGAAGAAAUUAUUUCAAAAGGAGUUAAACUUAUCAUUAUUGACUCUGUUGCUUCGGUGGUCAGAAAGGAGUUUGCUACACAACUUCAAGGUAAUCUGAAAGAAAGAAACAAGUUCUUGGCAAGAGAAGCAUCUUUACUGAAGUAUUUGGCUGAGGAAUUUUCAAUCCCAGUUAUCUUGACGAAUCAAAUUACAACCCAUAUGAGCGGAGCCCUCGCUUCUCAGGCAGACCUGGUGUCUCCAGCUGAUGAUUUGUCCCUGUCUGAAGGUACUUCUGGAUCCAGCUGUGUGACAGCCGCACUAGGAAACACCUGGAGUCACAGUGUGAACACCCGACUGAUCCUCCAGUACUUUGAUUCAGAGAGAAGACAGAUUCUCAUUGCUAAGUCCCCACUGGCUCCCUUCACCUCAUUUAUCUACACCAUCAAGGAGGAAGGUCUGGUUCUUCAAGUGAGUCCCUGUUGGAGACGUGGACUGCUCAUGGAGCCUGAGCUGAGACUGACUAGAGCUGAAGCCACAAGCACUGCUAUGCAAAAAAAGAAAAAAAUCAACAAGCCAAGGUUAUAGGAAGGGUUAAAAGGGAGUCUCCAAUAAACUCAAAUUCAGAAGAAUUUAAACAGAGCUAGAAGGAAUCAUGUCCAAACUUGCAAGGGUAAGUGAGCAAGAAGUUGCCUAAAUGAUUAUAUAACCAUGACCAACAGGACAAAGAUAAAUAAAUAGCAAAGACUUUUUAAAGAUAUGGACCAAUUCCUUUAGACUAGCAGCUCUCAAAUGUUUUGGUCUUAAGGACUGCUGUAUACUCCUAACAUUUAUUGAAGACUCCCCAAAGAGCUUUCAUGUAUGUGCAUUCUAUCUAUUGAUCAAUCCUGUGGUAGCCAGCCUCUGUGAUAGUCCCCAAAGAUCCUUAUAUCCUAGUUAGUACUCAUGCCCUGAUAUAUUCUCCUCUCACAUUGAAUCAGGACUGGUUUAUGUGACAAAUAUAAAAUGGCAGAAGUGAUAGUUAGUGUGUGAUUUCAGAGGCUAGGUCAUAAAAGGGACUACUGUUUCCUACUUGGUCUCUUCUGUUCUCUCUGGAGAAAACCCGUCUUUAGGUUUUGAGUACACUGGGGAAAGACCUACAUGGAGAAAAACCAAGGCCUCCUGUCAACAGCCAGCAACCCUUGGCCAGGCUUGUGACGGAGUUACCUUGAAGGCAGAUCCUCCAGCCCCAGUCAAGCCUUCAGAUGACAACAACCUCCUGAGAGAUCCUGAGGCAGACCUGCCUAGGUGUAUAGCAGUGAAGAAUACCAUGAAUGCCAGUGUAGUCUAGCACCAGUGAUUUUACCAAAUGUCAAGACAGUGAAGAAGGCAAAUAUCAUCUUGGUAUCAUCGUGAAAAUAGUUUUGACCUUGCAAAUACCUUAAUAGGGUCUCAGGGAUCCCAGGAGUCCAUAGUCCUUACUUCGAGAACCACUGCUUUAGAGACAUGGCUGUCAUUCUGUUACUUGCAGCAUUUAUAGGUGAAUGAGUUACAUGCUGACAUGCAUAAACAAGGUCUUUGUGCAAAAUUUCAGUGGCCACCAUUGCUUGCAUAAGCUAGAAAAUGUGUCAGUAGACCUCAGCUUAUCCUUGCGGAUGGCCUAUAAAUGAGACAGGUUCUUUAUUUAAGGGAGACUAGGGUAAUUUUUGUGCUUUUAUUUGUCCCACUUAUAAAAAGUAUGUGGAUGUUGGUGAGGAAGCUGAGCUCUGAGAAAUUCCUCAGACUCUCGGUGUUGAAUAAAUAAGA